GAUGAACGCUGGCGGCGUGCCUAAUACAUGCAAGUCGAGCGAACGGACGAGAAGCUUGCUUCUCUGAUGUUAGCGGCGGACGGGUGAGUAACACGUGGAUAACCUACCUAUAAGACUGGGAUAACUUCGGGAAACCGGAGCUAAUACCGGAUGAUAUUUUGAACCGCAUGGUUCAAAAGUGAAAGACGGUCUUGCUGUCACUUAUAGAUGGAUCCGCGCUGCAUUAGCUAGUUGGUAAGGUAACGGCUUACCAAGGCAACGAUGCAUAGCCGACGUGAGAGGGUGAUCGGCCACACUGGAACUGAGACACGGUCCAGGCUCCUACGGGAGGCAGCAGUAGCGAAUCUUCCGCAAUGGGCGAAAGCAUGACGGAGCAGCGCCACGUGAGUGAUGAAGGUCUUCGGAUCGUAAAACUCUGUUAUUAGUGAAGAACAUAUGUGUAAGUAACUGUGCACAUCUUGACGGUACCUAAUCAGAAAGCAACGGCUAACUACGUG
rnacentral:rRNA from 1 species